GACGAACGCUGGCGGCGUGCCUAACACAUGCAAGUCGAGCGGAGCUACGCAAGUAGCUUAGCGGCGGAUGGGUGAGUAACGCGUGAGUAACCUGGCCUAUACAGGGGGAUAACAACGAGAAAUUGUUGCUAACACCGCAUAAGACCACAGCAUCGCAUGGUGCAGCGGUCAAAAAUUUAUUGGUAUAGGAUGGACUCGCGUCCCAUUAGCUAGUUGGUGAGAUAACAGCCCACCAAGGCAACGAUGGGUAGCCGACCUGAGAGGGUGAUCGGCCACACUGGGACUGACGACACGGCCCAGACUCCUACGGGAGGCUG
rnacentral:rRNA from 1 species